AACGAACGCUGGCGGCAGGCCUAACACAUGCAAGUCGAGCGAGACCUUCGGGUCUAGCGGCGGACGGGUUAGUAACGCGUGGGAAUAUACCCUUCUCUACGGAAUAGCCCAGGGAAACUUGGAGUAAUACCGUAUACGCCCUUCGGGGGAAAGAUUUAUCGGAGAAGGAUUAGCCCGCGUUGGAUUAGGUAGUUGGUGGGGUAAUGGCCUACCAAGCCUACGAUCCAUAGCUGGUUUGAGAGGAUGAUCAGCAACACUGGGACUGAGACACGGCCCAGACUCCUACGGGAGGCAGCAGUGGGGAAUCUUAGACAAUGGGCGCAAGCCUGAUCUAGCCAUGCCGCGUGGACGAUGAAGGCCUUAGGGUUGUAAAGUCCUUUCAGCUGGGAAGAUAAUGACGGUAC
rnacentral:rRNA from 1 species